rnacentral:rRNA from 1 species
UACGGAGGGUGCGAGCGUUGUCCGGAAUCACUGGGCGUAAAGGGUGCGUAGGCGGCUGGAUAAGUCACGUGUGAAAGCCCGGGGCUCAACCCCGGUACUGCAUGUGGGACUGUCCGGCUCGAGCACGGUAGAGGCGAGUGGAAUUCCUGGUGUAGCGGUGGAAUGCGUAGAGAUCAGGAAGAACACCGGUGGCGAAGGCGGCUCGCUGGGCCGUUGCUGACGCUGAGGCACGAAAGCGUGGGGAG